rnacentral:lncRNA from 1 species
CUAUCUUUAGAUCCCCCAUUCCCAAUAGUCCAAGUCGCUCUCCCUCCUCCCCGUUCCAAGGUAGCUCAAAUCCAAGCCACGCCAUGCUUUCCACGGCACAGGGAAAGACGGCGACGGAACGCAGCGGCAGGAGAGAGAGCGACGCCUGGAAAGAACACGUGAAUGGAACCGCUUGGAUGGAACCUCGGACGGAACCUCGGGUGAAGUGAUUCGGAUGACUGGCUUCUCCGUACUUCCUUGUGCUCCUACUGCUGCUAUCAUGUGAAUGCAAUAAAACCGAGGAACUGAUCAUCAAUGAAUUGUAUGACGACAUCAAAAAUGUAUUGAAAGAAAAGAAUAUAGAAAGGAGAAUUAUCGAAAUUCCAAACCUCAAGCAAUGUCGGGUGAGGUAUGCUGGGCUGACUGGUAAAGGACGGGCAAAUGAGAGGCCAGUAGAUGGUGAGCCAGCUGCAGAUUGUCAUGUCGAUGGCACAAGCAUACCAUGGGAGCGGUGUGAAGGAAUCCGCCAACUUAAAAGGUUUUGCAACAUAGUGCGUGACCUGAGCUCGGAAACGCUGGAAGGUGUAACGAUGAAAUGCGAUUCCCUAAACCAGUUAUUUUCCAAGCGGUGCAGGAGUACAUUCACACGGAUGAUAAUCAACCCACUUCUGAUGACAAUUCCCCACUUCAACAUGAAGGUUAAACACCUGAGUUGGAGGUGGUCAUCCCAACUUGGUAUAACGUUCCCAUGCACACACCAAGUACAACAACC